rnacentral:lncRNA from 1 species
UCACCUACCAGUAGAGAGUGUGAUUCUUAGAAGAAGUCCUUGCAUUCUAGAACUAUGUAGCCAGCAUAGGUUGAGACAUUAAUACCUGUCACUUAAGGGUAGAUGAGGUGGCUUAACCUGUCAGAUGAAGGUUCCUACCGUUCUCAUUAGAGUACCUGCCAGAUGAGGGUCACUCACAGCUUGUCCUUACUAGUGGUGCGGUAUUGACACCCUUUCAAUCAGGGUAGAGAUUGG